rnacentral:ncRNA from 1 species
AGUGUUGCAAUGAAGAGAAGAGUACAUGGAAGGAAAUGGCACAGAGAGCUUCCGUCCGGUGAAAGGGAGCGCAGGGAAUUCCGUGGAAGAUGGCCUCAGAGCAGAUUGGUCGAAUAAUUAGACCGUCCGGUUGCACCCGUUAUCGUGCUAUGGUAUUCAAGACUACGGUCUGCGUACCUGAAGAGGCCUGGCUUGUGAGAGUCAGGUGAAAUUGGGUGGUAUCACGGUGCUUCCGUCCCUUAC